UAUAUUUUAAUGUAUGAUGCAUAAUAAUAUUUGAAAUUAUUAGGAAUAGUUUAAUUCUAUUAAAUAUAA
rnacentral:tRNA from 1 species